rnacentral:rRNA from 1 species
AAAGGUCCGGGUAAAUAAUCUUGCAGUCGAGCGAAUGGAUUGAGAGCUUGCUCUCAUGAAGUUAGCGGCGGACGGGUGAGUAACACGUGGGUAACCUGCCCAUAAGAUUGGGAUAACUCCGGGAAACCGGGGCUAAUACCGGAUAACAUUUUGAACUGCAUGGUUCAAAAUUGAAAGGCGGCUUCGGCUGUCACUUAUGGAUGGACCCGCGUCGCAUUAGCUAGUUGGUGAGGUAACGGCUCACCAAGGCAACGAUGCGUAGCCGACCUGAGAGGGUGAUCGGCCACACUGGGACUGAGACACGGCCCAGACUCCUACGGGAGGCAGCAGUAGGGAAUCUUCCGCAAUGGACGAAAGUCUGACGGAGCAACGCCGCGUGAGUGAUGAAGGCUUUCGGAUCGUAAAACUCUGUUGUUAGGGAAGAACAAGUGCUAGUUGAAUAGGCUGGCACCUUGACGGUACCUAACCAGAAAGCCACGGCUAACUACUUGCCAGCAGCCGCGGUAAUACGUAGGUGGCAAGCGUUAUCCGGAAUUAUUGGGCGUAAAGCGCGCGCAGGUGGUUUCUUAAGUCUGAUGUGAAAGCCCACGGCUCACCCGUGAAGGGUCAUUGAAAACUGGGAAACUUGAGUGCAAAAAAGGAAAGUGAAAUUCCAUGUGUAGCGGUGAAAUGCGUAAAGAUAUGGAGGAACACCAUUGGCGAAGGCAACUUUCUGGUCUGUAACUGACACUGAGGCGCGAAAGCGUGGGGAGCAAACAGGAUUAGAUACCCUGGUAGUCCACGCCGUAAACGAUGAGUGCUAAGUGUUAGAGGGUUCCCGCCCUUUAUUGCUGAAGUUAACGCAUUAAGCACUCCGCCGGGGGAGUACGGCCGCAAGGCUGAAACUCAAAGGAAUUGACGGGGGCCCGCACAACCGGUGGACCAUGUGGUUUAUUUCGAAGCAACGCGAAAAACCUUACCAAGUCUUGACUUCCUCUUAAAACCCUAAAAGAUAGGGCUU